UGUAUGAGCGAGCCUGCUCGCGAUGGUGAGUCAGUCAAGCGAGUGUCGACUGACACUCCAUCGCGAGCAGGCUCGCUCCUACA
rnacentral:misc_RNA from 1 species